AUUGAACGCUGGCGGCAGGCCUAACACAUGCAAGUCGAGCGGAUGAAGGGAGCUUGCUCCUGGAUUCAGCGGCGGACGGGUGAGUAAUGCCUAGGAAUCUGCCUGGUAGUGGGGGAUAACGUCCGGAAACGGGCGCUAAUACCGCAUACGUCCUGAGGGAGAAAGUGGGGAAUCUUCGACCCCAACCCUAUAAAAUAGCCUAGGUUGGAUUUGCUAGUUGGUGGGGUAAAGGCCUGCCAAGGCGACGAUCCGUAACUGGUCUGAGAGGAUGAUCAGUCACACUGGAACUGAGACACGGUCCAGACUCCUACGGGAGGCAGCAGUGGGGAAUAUUGGACAAUGGGCGAAAGCCUGAUCCAGCCAUGCCGCGUGUGUGAAGAAGGUCUUCGGAUUGUAAAGCACUUUAAGUUGGGAGGAAGGGCAGUAAGUUAAGACCUUGCUGUUUUGACGUUACCAACAGAAUAAGCACCGGCUAACUUCGU
rnacentral:rRNA from 1 species